AAGUCGUAACAAGGUUUCCGUAGGUGAACCUGCGGAAGGAUCAUUAUUGAAAUAAACCCUGAGCAGGCUGUUCUGCUGGUCCCUUGGACAUGUGCACGCCUCGCUCGUCUUUAUUUUUCCAACUGUGCACAUAUUGUAGGCCUGGAGCAUUUCUUAUCCAUUUGAAUAGAUUGAGGACUGCCAGUUGUGUGGCUUUGCCUUGUGUUUCCAGGUCUAUGUUGUAAUACAUUUUCACAAUUGUUUCAGAAUGGUCGAGUACAAAAAAAAUAUACAACUUUCAGCAACGGAUCUCUUGGCUCUCGCAUCGAUGAAGAACGCAGCGAAAUGCGAUAAGUAAUGUGAAUUGCAGAAUUCAGUGAAUCAUCGAAUCUUUGAACGCAUCUUGCGCUCCUUGGUAUUCCGAGGAGCAUGCCUGUUUGAGUGUCAUUAAAAAUUCUCAACCAUGCUGGUUCUUCUGGUGUGGCUUGGAUUUUGGAGGCUUUUGCAGGCUUUUUGUCUGCUCCCCUGAAAAGAAUCAGCGGUAUCUUGACUACCCUUGGGUGUGAUAAAUCAUCUAUGCCAUUGGUAUGCAGGACCCUGCUCAUAACAGAGUGUUGACAGAUUUGACCUCAAAUCAGGUAGGACUACCCGCUGAACUUAAGCAUAUCAAUAAGCGGAGGAAAAGAAACUAACAAGGAUUCCCCUAGUAACUGCGAGUGAAGCGGGAAAAGCUCAAAUUUAAAAUCUGGCGGUUCUUGACCGUCCGAGUUGUAAUCUAGAGAAGUGUUACCUGUGCUGGACCGUGUACAAGUCUCCUGGAAUGGAGCAUCACAGAGGGUGAGAAUCCCGUCUUUGACAUGGACUGCCUGCACGCUGUGGUGCGCUCUCGAAGAGUCGAGUUGUUUGGGAAUGCAGCUCAAAACGGGUGGUAAAUGCCAUCUAAAGCUAAAUAUUGGCGAGAGACCGAUAGCGAACAAGUACCGUGAGGGAAAGAUGAAAAGAACUUUGGAAAGAGAGUUAAACAGUACGUGAAAUUGCUGAAAGGGAAACGCUUGAAGUCAGUCGCGUUGGCUAGAAAUCAGCCUUGCUUUUGCUUGGUGUACUUUCUUGUCGACGGGUCAGCAUCAGUUUCGACUGCUGGAUAAGGACUUUGGGAAUGUGGCAUCUUUGGAUGUGUUAUAGCCCAUUGUUGCAUACAGCGGUGGGGAUUGAGGAACUCAGCACGCCGCAAGGCCGGGUCUCUGACCACGUUCGUGCUUAGGAUGCUGGCAUAAUGGCUUUAAUCGACC
rnacentral:rRNA from 1 species